rnacentral:rRNA from 1 species
AAACCCAGGCUAAUACCGCAUACGUCCUACGGGAGAAAGGGGGCUCCGGCUCCCGCUAUGGGAUGAGCCUAUGUCGGAUUAGCUAGUUGGUGAGGUAACGGCUCACCAAGGCCACGAUCCGUAGCUGGUCUGAGAGGAUGAUCAGCCACAUCGGGACUGAGACACGGCCCGAACUCCUACGGGAGGCAGCAGUGGGGAAUAUUGGACAAUGGGGGCAACCCUGAUCCAGCCAUGCCGCGUGUGUGAAGAAGGCCCUCGGGUUGUAAAGCACUUUCAGCGAGGAAGAACGCCUAGCGGUUAAUACCCGCUAGGAAAGACAUCACUCGCAGAAGAAGCACCGGCUAACUCCGUGCCAGCAGCCGCGGUAAUACGGAGGGUGCAAGCGUUAAUCGGAAUUACUGGGCGUAAAGCGCGCGUAGGUGGCUUGAUAAGCCGGUUGUGAAAGCCCCGGGCUCAACCUGGGAACGGCAUCCGGAACUGUCAAGCUAGAGUGCAGGAGAGGAAGGUAGAAUUCCCGGUGUAGCGGUGAAAUGCGUAGAGAUCGGGAGGAAUACCAGUGGCGAAGGCGGCCUUCUGGACUGACACUGACACUGAGGUGCGAAAGCGUGGGUAGCAAACAGGAUUAGAUACCCUGGUAGUCCACGCCGUAAACGAUGUCGACCAGCCGUUGGGUGCCUAGCGCACUUUGUGGCGAAGUUAACGCGAUAAGUCGACCGCCUGGGGAGUACGGCCGCAAGGUUAAAACUCAAAUGAAUUGACGGGGGCCCGCACAAGCGGUGGAGCAUGUGG